rnacentral:rRNA from 1 species
CCGGAUCAGUGGCGAACGGGUGAGUAACACGUGGGCAACCUGCCCUUCACUCUGGGAUAACCCCGGGAAACCGGGGCUAAUACCGGAUACGACCCCUGCAGGCAUCUGCGGGGGUGGAAAGUUUUUCGGUGAAGGAUGGGCCCGCGGCCUAUCAGCUUGUUGGUGAGGUAACGGCUCACCAAGGCUACGACGGGUAACCGGCCUGAGAGGGCGAACGGUCACACUGGGACUGAGACACGGCCCAGACUCC